UACAGAGAGGGCAAGCGUUGUUCGGAAUUACUGGGCGUAAAGGGCGCGUAGGCGGCCUGUUAAGUCGAACGUGAAAUCCCCGGGCUCAACCCGGGAACUGCGUCCGAUACUGGCAGGCUUGAAUCCGGGAGAGGGAUGUGGAAUUCCAGGUGUAGCGGUGAAAUGCGUAGAUAUCUGGAGGAACACCGGUGGCGAAGGCGGCAUCCUGGACCGGUAUUGACGCUGAGGCGCGAAAGCCAGGGGAGCAAACGGG
rnacentral:rRNA from 1 species